UACGUAGGUGGCAAGCGUUGUCCGGAAUUAUUGGGCGUAAAGCGCGCGCAGGCGGUCCCUUAAGUCUGAUGUGAAAGCCCACGGCUCAACCGUGGAGGGUCAUUGGAAACUGGGGGACUUGAGUGCAGAAGAGGAAAGUGGAAUUCCAUGUGUAGCGGUGAAAUGCGUAGAGAUGUGGAGGAACACCAGUGGCGAAGGCGACUUUCUGGCCUAUAACUGACGCUGAGGCGCGAAAGCGUGGGGAGCAAACAGG
rnacentral:rRNA from 1 species